UACAGAGGUCUCGAGCGUUAGGCGGAAUCACUGGGCUUAAAGCGUGUGUAGGUGGAUGCCUAAGUACCUUGUGAAAUCCCACAGCUUAACUGUGGAACUGCUUGGUAUACUGGGUGUCUUGAGUCACUCAGGGGCGAGCGGAACAAAUGGUGGAGCGGGUGAAAUGCGUAGAUAUCAUUUGGAACGCCAAUGGUGAAAACAGCUCGCUGGGGGUGUACUGACGCUGAGACGCGAAAGCGUGGGGAGCAAACAGG
rnacentral:rRNA from 1 species